rnacentral:rRNA from 1 species
UUGGAGGGCAAGUCUGGUGCCAGCAGCCGCGGUAAUUCCAGCUCCAAUAGCGUAUAUUAAAGUUGUUGCAGUUAAAAAAGCUCGUAGUUGAAUUUCGGGACUAGUACGUUGGUCGUGCCUUAGGUACGUACUGGUGUUACUGGUUCCUACCUUCUGACGAACCAUUAUGUCAUUAAUUUGGUGUGGUGGGGAAUCAGGACUGUUACUUUGAAAAAAUUAGAGUGUUUAAAGCAGGCUCGCGCUUGAAUACAUUAGCAUGGAAUAAUGAAAUAGGACGUUG